rnacentral:lncRNA from 1 species
AAACAACCUCUCUACCCCAAGGUAGGGGUAAGGUCUGCGUACACACUACCCUCCCCAGACCCCCCUAAGUGAGAUUAUACUGGGUUGUUGUUGUUGUUGUUGUUGCUUUAUGUAUUGCUGAAGAAAACAGCUUAUGCGCGAGCUAGCACACUUAUAAUAUAUUCUUCCUAGCUUUUCUUCUAAGUUGUAUCAUGUUAUAUUUGGAACUAAUUCUACACAUUGCUUAUGUUAUGAAUGGCUUCUUGUGCUCAGGAUGAAUGCUUGUUGGGAUCUAUAGCAGAUGGUCUGAAUGCCCUCUUAAACAUUGAAGUAAGUUACCCCAACAUUGCCCCUUUUUGUUUCCUUGUGCAACAUAUUUUUCAUUUCUUGAAGAAACAGCAGCAGUGCUUCCUUGUGAUAUUAUAACUACUUCAGAUGAUGGUCGUUUGAAACCAGUUUCUUUGUUUGAGCUGCUCAGACUUGCCCUCUUUUUGGCUUCCUGCCAUCUGGAUAAGUGUGUCUGAUCACCUUUCUCAUAGAAACUGAAUUUUGUGUAACUUAAGCAAUGGCACACUUCCACUUUCUGUGGCAGGCUACUGAUAUUCUCUUUUCUUGAGCUUAAAGAAAUGUUAAUGGAAGCACCCAAGGGCGUGGUCUAGUGUCGAUGAAGUGAGUGAAAACCAUGAGAGACCAAGGUUCAAAUCCUAGUAGAGACAAAAACGCUAGGUGAUUUUUUUAUAUCUGCCUAAGCCUUGGUGGAUAGAGUUACCUACUACCUAUUUUAGGGGGAGGUAGCAGGAAUUUGGUGUAAUAGUUAAGAUGCGCGUAGGCUAGCUUGGACACCACAAUUGUUGUUCUUCCUGCAUGCUUGAUUGUUUUGUAUCACAGCUGAGUUCCUUACGCUCCAUAUAGGACUGGAACACUGAGAAUGCAACAUAAUAUGCCACAGUUCCUUAUAUUUUAUGCACACACUCAGUGUUGAAACAUUAGAGCUGUGAGCAUGUUUGCCUGUAAGCUCCUCCACCAGAUUUUUCUUUGAAACAUUUGGUCGAGCAUGGUUGUCCCUCACUAAAUUGCCACUGGUCAGAGGUUCUUUGGAACAAAUUUAACCAUAUAAGUUUUUGCCAUUUGAUGACCUUUGAAUCUUCUAUUCUAGGUAAUUUGGAGCCAAGAAAGGUUCGUGGGCCUACUUUACUAAAAGAUAUUUGUUUGUGUCCCUUUCUGGUUAUGGACUUUUAGUUUCAUAACCUCGCAAACUAUUAUCAGCUUUGGUGUUUGGCAACAUUUAGUUCCUAUUGACAUAGUUAUUUUAUAAUUUCAGGUCAAACAGUCUGAUGUUCUAUAAUUUAGCGGGUGGAAGAUUUCAAUAUGAGGAAGAGUUUCAGAGAUUAUUUUGAAGAUUGUUAUUCGUUAAGAUUAGUUAUAUAGUGACAUUAGCUAUUUACUUCAAACAAUAUGAGUUAUAUUUUAAGGUUUUAUGAUAUUAAUAUUUUGGAUUAGUACUUUUUGUUCGUUAAAAUUUAACGAGAUAUACUAUAGUUUUAUGAAUUAAUAUCAAUAUGUUUUGUUAUUUGCAUUAUUUUUUGGUCGAAUGUAGUAGCUAUUAUUAAUGGUGGCUAAACUUACUGUUAUAACUUGUGAAUUUUAGUGCCAAUUUAACAGGAUUAAGACGUUUA